GCGGGCGUGGCGGAAUUGGUAGACGCACUGGAUUUAGGUUCCAGCGCCGCAAGGUGUGAAGGUUCGAGUCCUUUCGCCCGCACCA
rnacentral:tRNA from 1 species